rnacentral:tRNA from 4 species
AGAGAGGUGGCCGAGUGGUCGAAGGCGCACGCCUGGAAAGUGUGUAUGCUCCAAAAGGGCAUCGAGGGUUCGAAUCCCUUCCUCUCUGCUA